rnacentral:rRNA from 1 species
AAAUUGAAGAGUUUGAUCAUGGCUCAGAUUGAACGCUGGCGGCAGGCCUAACACAUGCAAGUCGAACGGUAACAGGAAGCAGCUUGCUGCUUUGCUGACGAGUGGCGGACGGGUGAGUAAUGUCUGGGAAACUGCCCGAUGGAGGGGGAUAACUACUGGAAACGGUAGCUAAUACCGCAUAACGUCGCAAGACCAAAGAGGGGGACCUUAGGGCCUCUUGCCAUCGGAUGUGCCCAGAUGGGAUUAGCUAGUAGGUGGGGUAAUGGCUCACCUAGGCGACGAUCCCUAGCUGGUCUGAGAGGAUGACCAGCCACACUGGAACUGAGACACGGUCCAGACUCCUACGGGAGGCAGCAGUGGGGAAUAUUGCACAAUGGGCGCAAGCCUGAUGCAGCCAUGCCGCGUGUAUGAAGAAGGCCUUCGGGUUGUAAAGUACUUUCAGCGGGGAGGAAGGGAGUAAAGUUAAUACCUUUGCUCAUUGACGUUACCCGCAGAAGAAGCACCGGCUAACUCCGUGCCAGCAGCCGCGGUAAUACGGAGGGUGCAAGCGUUAAUCGGAAUUACUGGGCGUAAAGCGCACGCAGGCGGUUUGUUAAGUCAGAUGUGAAAUCCCCGGGCUCAACCUGGGAACUGCAUCUGAUACUGGCAAGCUUGAGUCUCGUAGAGGGGGGUAGAAUUCCAGGUGUAGCGGUGAAAUGCGUAGAGAUCUGGAGGAAUACCGGUGG